AUUGAACGCUGGCGGCAGGCCUAACACAUGCAAGUCGAACGGCAGCACGGUUACUGCUUCCUGUUUCCGGUGGGCAGACGGGUGAGGAAUAGAUCGACAUAUGUCUUGAAGUUGUCGUUCGCCCUGCCACAGCCGAAUUUAUGCCACAUACGCUUACGGCCUAAGUGCGAGAGCCGUUGAUCUCUCGCUCUCGCGUGUUCGCCGGUGGCUAUGUCGGAUUAGCUAGUUGUAGGGGUAAAGGACCACCAAGGCGACGAUCAGUAGCUGGUCUGAGAGGAUGAUCAGCCACACUGGAACUGAGACACGGUCCAGACUCCUACGGGAGGCAGCAGUGGGGAAUAUUGGACAAUGGGCGAAAGCCUGAUCCAGCAAUGCCGCGUGUGUGAAGAAGGCCUUCGGGUUGUAAAGCACUUUUGUUGGGAAAGAAAAGCAGGAGGUUAAUACCGUGCUGUGCUGACGGUACCCAAAGAAUAAGCACCGGCUAACUUCGUG
rnacentral:rRNA from 1 species